UCAAGGAGGUUGAAGAUUGAAUCUGGAGAAAUGAAUUUCACGAGUGAAGAAACCACUGAAGGGUGAACUUGAGGUAAGCUUUAUAACAUUUCUUCUCCAAAAACAAUUAGAAAUUCACAUUAAAUUUCAACGAAAUUUACCUCUAAAUUUCCUUGAAAUCCACAAAACAUUUGGGAAUUAGUUAGCUUAAAAAUCUGUUGUGAAAUUCUAAAUGAAAUUUAAUCCAAAUUCAGGAGUUACCUCCUAAAUGAGAAAAUUUGUUUGGUGUUAG
rnacentral:lncRNA from 1 species